rnacentral:lncRNA from 1 species
AUAUUUAAAGGCUUGGAGAUAUGUUUUUGAGAAGUCUUGGGCCUAGACAUUACUAUUAGCACGGUACGUCCAAUCAAAUCCGAUAGUCAAUAGCAUUAGUCCUCGCAAAACAAAACAAAUGCAAAACAAUCACUGCUCAUUACUCAAAAAUUCCAAUCAGCAUACAUUGAAAAAGCAUUAACUAAUAAUACCUAAUUAACUUGAGUUUGAAAUCAAACCCGAUAAUCAAUAGCUAUAAUCCUCGCAAAACAAAACGAAUAGAAAAUAGUCACUAGUUAUUACUCAAAAGUUCUAAUCAGAAAAAUUUGAAAUAAACAAACUACAACAUAUGGCAUUGUCUAAUAAUAUCUAAUUAACUUGAUCUUGAAAUUGAACCCGGGAAACUUCAAGUUCAAGUUAAUUACGACCCAAGACAAAUAUACAAAAUUUAAAACAAUCGUUACAUACCUAAAUAUUUAAAGGCUUGGCGAUAUGUUUUUGACAAGUCCUGGUCCCUGGGCAUCGCUAUUAGCGGGGUACGUCCAAUCAAGUUCGAUAGUCAAUAGCUAUAAUCCUCGCAAAACAAAACGAAUAGAAAAUAGUUACUAGUUUACUCAAAAGUUCUAAUCAGAAAAAUGAAAUAGGCCAACUACAACAUAUGGCAUAUCUAAUAAUACAUAAUAACUGAGAUUAAAAUUGAACCUGGAAAAAAACUUCAGUUCAAGUUAAUGACGGCCCAAGACAAAUAUAAAACAAUAGGUAUAAAAAACCAAUCGUUAUCGUACCUUAAAUAUUUAAAGGCUUGGAGAUAUGUUUUUGAGAAGUCUGGGGCCAUAGACAUCACUAGUAGGCCGGACGUACGUCCAAUCAAAUCCGAUAGUCAACAGAAGCCUCGCCAAAACAAAACAAAUGCAAAAACAAUCACGGCUCAUUACUCAAAAAUUUUCAAUCAGCACCAAUUGAAAAAAGCAUUAACUAAUAAUACCUACUUGACUUUGAUCGAAAUCAAACCCCAUAAUAAUAGCAAUAAUCCUCGCAAAACAAAACGAUAAAAACAGCACUACUUUUACUAAAAGUUCAAAUCUAGAAAAUUUGACGAAAUAGACAAAACUACACAUAUGGCAUUGUCUAAUAAUACCUAAUUAACUUGACCUGAAUGAAUUUGAACCCGGAAGGAAAACUUCAAGUUCAAGUAAUUACGGGCCCAGACAAAAUAUAAAAAAAAUUAAAAACAAUCUUACGUACCUAAAAUUUAAAGCUUGGAGAUAUGUUUGAGAAGUCUUGGGCCCUAGAACAUCACUAGUAGCACGGUACGUCCAAUCAAAAUCAGAUAGUCAACAGAGUCUCGCACAAAACAAAAACAAAUUGCAAACACCACUGCCAUACUCAAAUUUGCAAUCAGGCACACCAUGUGAAAAAGCAUUAACUAAUAAUACCUAAUUGACUUUUGAUCGAAAUCAAACCCGAUAAUAAUAGCAAUAAUCCUCGCAAAACAAAACGAAUAGAAAACAGUCACUAGUUAUUACUUAAAAGUUCAAAUCAGAAAAUUUUGAAAUAGACAAACUACAACAUAUGGCAUUGUCUAAUAAUACCUAAUUAACUUGACCUUGAAAUUGAACCCGGAAAACUUCAAGUUCAAGUUAAUUACGGCCCAAAGACAAAUAUAAAAAAUUAAAAACCAAUCGUUUUAGUUUACGCAAAAUAUUUAAAGCUUGGAGAUAUGUUUUUUGAGAAGUCUUGGCCUUAGGGACAUCACUAUUAGCAAGGUACGUCCAAUCAAAUCCGAUAGUCAAUCAGCAUUUAGUCCUCGCCAAAACAAAAAAAUGCAAAACAGUCACUACUCAUAAUCAAAAAUUCCAAUCGCAUACAUUGAAAAAGCAUUAACUAACAAUACCUAAGUAACUGAGUUUGAAAUCUCAAACACGAUGGGAAUCAUAGCAAUAUCUCGGCAAAACAAAACGAAUAGAAAAGUCAUAGUUAUUACUCAAAAAUUCUAAUAAGAAAAAUUUUGAAAUAAACAAACUACAACAAUGGCAUUGUCGAAUAAAAAAAUAUCUAAAUUAACCUGAUCUUGAAAUUGAACCCGGGAAGGAAACUUCAAGUUCAAGGUUAAAAUUACGACCCAAAGACAAAAAUACAAAAUUUAAAACAAUCGUUACAUACCUAAAUAUUAAAGGGGGGGGGGGGGGGGGGGGGGACUUGGCGAAAUUUUGACAAGUCCUGGUCCCUGCGGGCAAUCGCUCUUAGCGGGGUACGUCAAUAAAGUUCGAUAGUCAAUAGGCUUUGUCCUCGCAAAACAAAACAAAAGCAAACAGCCACUGCUCAUUACUCAAAAAUUUCAAUCAGUUACAUUGAAAAAGUAUUAACAAAUAAUACCUAAUUGACUUUAGAUCGAAAUCAAACCCGAUAAUAAUAGCAAUAAUCCUCGCAAAACAAAACGAAUAGAAAAUAGUCACUAGUUAUUACUCAAAAAUUCUAAUCAGAAAAAUUUGAAUAGACAAACAAACAUAUGGCUUGUAUAAUAAAUCUAAUUAACGAUCUUGAAAUUGAACCCGGGAAACUGCAGCUUCAGUUAUACGACCAAGGACAAAUAUACAAAAUUUAAAACAAUCGUUACAUACCUAAAUAUUUAAAGCUUGGCGAUAUGUUUUCGACAAGUAUGGUCCUAGGAUCGCAUUAGCGGGUACGUCCAAUCAAGUUGUAGGCAAUAGCAUUUGUCUCGCAAAACAAAACAAAGCAAAACAGUCACGCCUCAUUACUAAAAAAAUUUCAAUCAGCAUACAUUGAAAAGUAUAACAAAUAAUACCUAAUGUGAAUUAGUCGAAAUCAACCCGAUAAUAAUAGAAAUAAAAUUCUCGCAAAACAAAACGAAUAGAAACAUUCACUAGAGUUAUCACUCAAAAGUACAAAUCAGAAAAUUUUGAAAAUUGAAAUAGACAGAACAUACAACAUAGGCAUUGUCUUAAUAAUACCUAAUUAACUUGACCUGGAAAUUGACCGGGAAACUUCAAGUUCAAGUUAAUACAGGCCCAAGACAAAUAUAAAAAAUUAAAAACAUAGUUAAGUACUCAAUAUUUGAAGAUUGGAGAUAUGUUUGAGAAGUCUGGGCCUAGACAUCACUAUUAGCACGGUACGUCCAAUCCAAAUACGAAGUAAAUAGCAUUAGUCCUCGCAAAACAAAACAAAUGUAAACAAUCACUGCUCAUUACUCAAAAUUUCGAAUCAGCCACACAUUGAAAAAGUCAUUUUAAAAUAAUAAACCUAAUUGACUUUAGACGAAAGCAACCCGAUAAUAAUAGCAAUAAUCUCGCAAAACAAAACGAAUAGAAAACAGUCAUAGUUAUUACUCAAAAAUUCUAAUAGAAAAAUUUGAAAUAGACAACCAGACAGAAUAUUGGCUUGUCUAAUAAUACUAUAACUUGAGUUGAAAUGGAACCCGGAAAACUUCAAGUUCAAUUAAUUACGGACCAAGACAAAUCUAAAAAAAUUAAAAAAACCAAUCGUACGUUACCUAACUAUUUAACGGCUUGGAGAUUCAUUGUUUUUGACGAAAGUCUUUGGGCCUAGACAUCACUAUUCGCACGGUACGUCCAAUCAAAUCCGAUAGGUCAAUAGAUCCUCGCAACAAACAAAACAAUACAAAACAUAACUGUCAUAUCAAAAUUUCAAUCAGCACACCUUGAAAAGCAUUAACUAAUAAUAACUAAUUGACUUUAGAUCGAAAUCAAACCGAUAAUAAUAGCAAUAAUCCUACGCAAAACCAAAACGAAUAUAGAAAACAGUCACAGAGCACUAGUUAUACUGUUCAAAAGUUCAAAUCAGAAAAAUUUGAAAUAGACAAACUACAACAUAUGGCAUUGUCUAAUAAUACCUAAUUAACUUGAUCUUGAAAUUGAACCCGGGAAACUUCAAGUUCAAGUUAAUUACGACCCAAGACAAAUACACAAAAUUUAAAACAAUCGUUACGUACCACAAUAUUUAAAGGCAUGGCGAUAUGUUUUUGACAAGUCCUGGGCCCUAGGCAUCGCUAUUAGCGGGGUACGUCCAAUCAAGUUCGAUAGUCAAUAGCAUUUGUCCUCGCAAAACAAAGCAAAUGCAAAACAUGCACUGCUCAUUACUCAAAUUAAUCAGCGACAUGAAAAAGUAUUAACUAAUAAUACCUAAUUAACUUUAGUUGAAACCAAACCCAGAUAAUAAUCAAUAGCCAAUAAUCUCGCCAAAACAAAAACGAUAGAAAACAGUACACUAGUUAUUACUCAAAAAUUCUAAAGCAGAAAAAUUAAACUAAAAUAGACCAACUACAACAUAUGGACAUUGUCUAAUAAUACCUAAUUAACUUGCUUGAAAUUAAACCGGGAACUUCAAGUUCAAGUAAUUAAGGCCCCCAAAACAAAUACAAAACAAUCAAUGACCUCAUUACUCAAAGAUUCCAAUCAGCAUACAUUGAAAAAGCAUUAACUAAUAUACUAAUUGACUUUCGAUUGAAAUCAAACCCGAUAAUACUAGCAAUAAUCCUCGCAAAACAAAACGAAUUAGAAAACAGUCGUCACUAGUUAUUACUCCAAAGUACAAAAAAUCAGGAAAAUUUUGAAAUAGACAAACUUACAACAGAUGGCAUUGCUAAUAAACCUAAUUAACUUGAUCUUUGAAAAUGCACCCGGGAGGAAACGGAAAACUUCACGUUCAAGUUAAUUACGAACCAGAGACAAAAUAUUUUGGUUUAACAAAAAUUUAAAACAAUCGUUACGUACCACAAUAUUAAGCAAUAACACACCACACAUGGCGAUUAUAUGUUUGAACAAGUCCUGCGCCCUAGGCAUCGCUAUUAGCGGGGUACGUCCAAGCAAGUGACGAUAUCAUAGCAUUUGUUCGCGCCAAAACAAAGCAAAAUGACGCAAAAAAACUGCACAACUGCGCUCAUUACUCAAAAAUUUCAAUCAGCAUACAUUGAAAAAGUAUUAACUAAUAAUACCUAAUUAACUUUAGUUUGAAACCAAACCCGAUAAUCAAUAGCAAUAAUCCUCGCAAAACAAAACGAAUAGAAAACAGUCACUAGUUAUUACUCAAAAAUUCUAAGAAGAAAAAUUUGAAAUAGACAAACUACAACAUAUGGCAUUGUCUAAUAAUACCUAAUUAACUUGAUCUUGAAAUUGAACCCGGGAGGGAAUUCACGUUCAAGUUAAUUAUAACCCAAGACAAUAUAACCAAUUUUAAAACAUCGUACUACCUAAAUAUUUAAAUGCUUUGGCGAUAUGUUUUUGACAGUCCUGGUCCCUGGGCAUCGCUAUUAGCGGGGUACGUCCAAUCAAGUUCGAUAGUCAAUAGCUAUAAUCCUCCGCAAAACAAACGAACAGAAAAUAGUUACUAGUUAUACUCAAAAGUUCUAAUAUCAGAAAAAUUUGAAAUAUACAACUACAACAUAUGCAAUUAUGUAUAAUCCUCAUUACUGAGCUGGAAAUUGAACCUGGAAACCUUCAAGUUCAAGUUAAUUACGGCCCAAGAAAAAUAUAAAAAAUUAAAAACAAUCGUUACGUACCUAAAUAUUUAAAGGCUUGGAGAUAUGUUUUGAGAAGUCUUGGGCCUAGACAUCACUAUUAGCACGGUACGUCCAAUCAAAUCCGAUAGUCAACAGAGUCCUCGCAAAACAAAACAAAUGCAAAACAAUCACUGCUCAUUACUCAAAAUUUUCAAUCAUCACACAUUGAAAAAGCAUUAACUAAUAAUACCUAAUUGACUUUUGAUCGAAAUCAAACCCGAUAAUAAUAGCAAUAAUCCUCGCAAAACAGAAACGAUAGAAACAGUCACCAGUUAUUACUUAAAGUUAAUAGAAAAUUUUGAAAUGACAAAUGGCAUUGUCUAAUAAUACCUAAUUAAACUUGACUUGAAAUUGACCCCGUACAAACACCAUUCAGUUCAAGUUAAUUACGGCCCAAGUCAAAUAUAAAAAGUUAAAAACAAUCGUUACGUAC